GAUAAAGAGAGGAAUUAAACCCCUAUUAGUGGGUCUACAGCCCACCACCUAACAUUCGGCCACCUUA
rnacentral:tRNA from 1 species